rnacentral:tRNA from 1 species
GGCAAGUUACCCUAGCGGCCAAAGGGAGCUGACUGUAAAUCAGCCGUUUUCAACUUCGGGGGUUCGAAUCCCUCACUUGCCACCA